UCGUGUUGACAAAGUGCUCUUCCGCUGCCUCAGAAGAUUCCGUCAGAGAUUUAUCAAAUGACUUCAUGGAGGAGAGUCUGUCACGAGAUCGGGCGGCGGAUCGCAUGGCCUGUAAGGCUCAAAUGUCAAAGCAGAGGGACGCAUCCAGGAGCUCUCCUCAGAGACAGCAAAUACAAGAGCAGCAUUGUUCUAAACAGGAGCUUGCCCUGCUGUUAACAGAGAUGGAGGUGCGGGUGAUGACCUCUCUUGAGGCCCAGGAGUUCAGCAAGGCAACAGGAAAAGAUUUACAGACUCUGACUAUCCUCCCACAGACAAAAGAAGUCUGUGAGGUUCAACUGGGCGAUCGGCCACUUCUAGUUCUCUUCAGGGAGGAAAAAACCGUCAGAGAGGCCUACAGCUUGCUGCAUUCCCUUCUGGGGUCAUCCAAGCCAGUGCCCAAACCCAGAAUAAAAUCCUCCCUUCACUCGGGUCAGCGGAGCUCUCUUGUGGACGCUCUGAGAAGAGGAAUAGAGACAGGGGACAGGAUGGUGACACUUCAGAACGACACUGAGGCUGAGACGGUACAGAGGGGCUCAGGGAACGGUUCUCUUGAGCCCACUGGGUCAACCAGUUCUGUGGACAGUCCUGCCAAUCAGAUGAGAACGACAGAGGAUGUUCGACGCAGCACCUACAGGAGGCUGGACAGUUUGGAGGAGACGAUUCGAGAGCUGGAGAACACCUUGAGAGAGAUCUGUGGCCAUCCAACUGCAGAACUUCUUUACACUGACGCCAGUACCCAAAAUGUUCCUGCACAGAUGACCGGUACUUCGACCUCAGAGACCCAGAAGCCGCGAGUCCCACCCAAGCCGUCAUCUUUGAGUCCAGCAUCAAACCAGGGAGGAAAUAGCUCCAGUGUCGGUAAGAUCCUCCACUCCUCAGCUACAUCCAAGCUGAAGCACCUGCAGCAGAACAGCACAGACAAGACUAAAAGCGGGAAAAGAGAGGAUAUCUUGAAGAUCCAGGGCCAGCAGCAGCAGUGAGCGACCUGCCCGUGUCCACAUGGCCUCAAAGUGCCACACAUUCAUCAGCCCCCCCACCCCCCCAUUAACUUCAUCAACAACCUUCACAUCUCCAGUGUUUUCUACAAAAUCUCCAUUGAGCCCCCCCACCCCUCUGUGUGCAUGUGUUGAUGUGUGUGUGUGUGUGUGUGUGUGUGUGUGUGUGUGUGUGUGUGUGUGUGUGUGCAAGCAUGCGUGCCUGGGCAUGUUUGAAAAGAAUGAUAAGGGAAGGUGCUGCAGGGGGCAGUGCCCAGCCGCAACCAAUUUUAAGAUUUAAUUUUUUAUGAUUUCCCCCUUUGAUUCUUUGACCCCCCCCCCCUUGCUGUCUCUUGUGUCCCCGCUCCACCUGAAGGCUCUGGGGACCAACAGUGCCAGCAGUAGCAUUGAUCCAUACCUCUCUGAUAUCAAAACGGGCAUUUUCUCAAGCCGAGUGCCCUCUCCUGCAGCAGCGUUUGCCCCCGGCUUGAGGAAGUACCCCCAGGUGGGGUCAGUGCCCUCCCUGACAGCCUCCACCAGCCAAGCCAAGGCCCUGCUGGCAAGCCUGUCAUCGUCUGGCCUGAGCGCCGAGGCCCUGCUCCUCUCCUCCACCCUCCGUCAUCACCGGCCUCUGCGGGAGCAGCGAGCCUCCUCCUUGUCCUUGCCCAGCAGCCAGUCCUCCGCCCCGACUCCCACCGCUUCCUCUUCCUCCUCUUCCUCUUCCCCCACCACCUCUACUCCGUCCUUGUCCCCCCCUUCUCCGACCCCUCUGAGCGCCGUCGCCCUCCCCUCUGCAGUUCUGAAGCCCAACACUUGUAGUCUUGACAGCUCCAGCCUCAACAGCUGCAAGGAGGGUGGCAGCAAGCCUGUGAAUAAGGACCUCACCUGUGGCAGCUCUCAGUGAUGAAGAGGAGGAGAAAGAGUCUGACGGGGGAGAAGAAUUUCAUGUACUGUACCACCACAUCAUGAACCAUAGAGACUUUUUUUUUUUUUUUUUUUGUUGUUGUUGUUGUUUUUCCUCUGUACUUUCUCCAUUCUGCAGAUUCUCCAUGUCUCCAUGGCAAGAAGUGCCAUACUGUAAGCUGGAGUCACAAUCUUCUUCUUGGACAAGUUUCCCUCACUGAUCUGGUUCCACAGUUUCUCUGAAGUUCUCACAAAGAGUCUUACUGCCAGUGUCCCAGCAAGAGAGCACACAAACCAGCUACCUGCUAUAAGCUGAUGUGGUCUGGAUGGAUUUACUGACAGCACCAGUCUCAUAUUUAUCCUCAUGCAAUGAGUUGUUAGUGGAGUAGAUAUAAUAUCUAGACUGUGACUUUUAUCAUAGAAAAUAGAAUGCAAUAAUUACAAAGUGAUUCCUGUAGUUGUGUGUGUUCUGGAUAAUAUUGCUCUCACUUACCUUCAUCACCUGGCAGAGUGGGAGCCUGCUCCAAAAAAGAGAAAAAAAAAAAAAAAAAGUUUAUCAAGGUGAUGAUUCAAGCUGUUUUGUGUUAAAAGGGCAUUUGUGGCUUUUCUCACAUCACGUGUUUUAAACUUUGAACUGGUGCUAUAUUUUCCCCUCUGUUUGUACGAACUGUGUAAGGAGUUUACACAACAGUCCCUCAUCUUUGACCCACACUUUGGUGUCAGAUCAUAUUCCACUUUCUGCUUUGAUUUUUUUUUUUUUUAUUGCAUAUUACUCAAAUAUUAGUAGUAGUAUUAAUAGGAAUGAAGUAGAGAAAUCCUUCCAAAAAAUUUCAAUUUCGCCAAACAAAAGCACACUGUUGGGAGCACAUCUCUAUUUAAAAUGGAACCAGGAGGCACAGUUACACAAACAGAAGGGAAACUGCAAUUUGUGUAUUAUAUACAAAUGUUGAAUUUCUGUUGGUGUGUACAAGCUAGUUAAUUAUGACAAUCAGGAUGUUUCCACAAAAAGCAUCUCACGGGUUGAUCUGUGGCGUUUCAGCACCUGACAUAACAAACCAUCCCAAAGACUCAAG
rnacentral:lncRNA from 1 species